rnacentral:rRNA from 1 species
GUAACGCGGUACGGGUAACCGUCGCCCUACUAACAACGGGUAGGGGGUAAUAACGUACUUAAGAAUAGUGCUAAUACCGCAUAAGCGCACGGGACUGCAUGUCUUGUGUGAAAAACUCCGGUGGUGUGAGAUGGACCCGCGUCUGAUUAGCUGGUUGGCGGGGUAACGGCCCACCAAGGCGACGAUCAGUAGCCGGCCUGAGAGGGUGGACGGCCACAUUGGGACUGAGACACGGCCCAAACUCCUACGGAAGGCAGCAG